rnacentral:rRNA from 1 species
AACGAACGCUGGCGGCAGGCUUAACACAUGCAAGUCGAACGCCCCGCAAGGGGAGUGGCAGACGGGUGAGUAACGCGUGGGAAUCUACCGUACCCUACGGAACAACUCCGGGAAACUGGAGCUAAUACCGUAUACGCCCUACGGGGGAAAGAUUUAUCGGGGUAUGAUGAGCCCGCGUUGGAUUAGCUAGUUGGUGGGGUAAAGGCCUACCAAGGCGACGAUCCAUAGCUGGUCUGAGAGGAUGAUCAGCCACAUUGGGACUGAGACACGGCCCAAACUCCUACGGGAGGCAGCAGUGGGGAAUAUUGGACAAUGGGCGCAAGCCUGAUCCAGCCAUGCCGCGUGAGUGAUGAAGGUCUUAGGAUUGUAAAGCUCUUUCACCGAUGAAGAUAAUGACGGUAGUCGGAGAAGAAGCCCCGGCUAACUUCGUGCCAGCCGCCGCGGUAACAC